AAUAAAAGAGACACUCGGUGACUGUGUGCAUACAGAGGUGCUUUAUUGAUAAAUAAAUUUAUACUGAUUGAAGAGGAAAUCAAUAUGCUGUCUUCAUGCACAGACACAACCUUCAUGUGCUCUGCUGGAAAUCAGAGAUGAAGGUGCUGUAAUGCGUGUUAUUAUUAUUGUAGCUGAAGCAGAUUUGCACACACAUACUGAUAUAUACGACGCCUCCGGCUGCUGCUGCUACAGUCGUGUUGAGAUGCAUGGGGCAAUGCUUAAAGCAGUGAAUAAAAA